GAAACACUUAACUGUCAGUCGCUCUGGAUAAGAGCGUCUGCUAAAUGACACAAA
rfam:Salmo salar isolate Sally breed double haploid chromosome ssa22, whole genome shotgun sequence.